AUUUAGCCCCGAUGGAAGCAAGUAUCCUUUUUUAUAAACGCUUUUAACCCUUUCAGAGUUUUGAACUCUGAAAGGGUUGCGUUUAAAAAAAGAUACUGCGGACAGCGGGACAACUC
rnacentral:sRNA from 1 species